ACUUUCUUAGUAUAAUCAGUACAUCUGACUUCCAAUCAGCUAGUUCUAGUCUAACCUAGAAGAAAGUA
rnacentral:tRNA from 1 species